rnacentral:misc_RNA from 1 species
AAGUCGUAACAAGGUUUCCGUAGGUGAACCUGCGGAAGGAUCAUUAACAAAAAGAAAUGAAAGAGGAAGAGAGAGAAGAUAAUAUAAUUUAUAUAUUAUUCUCUCUCUCCUCUUUUCGACACCUUGUGCACCUUUAUGAUUAUAGUUUGUUUUUAUAUAUAAUAUAAUUUAAAACAACUUUUAACAAUGGAUCUCUUGGCUCUU